rnacentral:rRNA from 1 species
CCCUUAGAUGUUCGGGGCCGCACGCGCGCUACACUGAAGGACUCAGCGUGUCUCUCCCCCUAUCCCGAAAGGGAUGGGCAACCCGUCGAACCUCCUUCGUGCUAGGGAUUGGGGUUUGCAAUUAUCCCCCAUGAACGAGGAAUUCCCAGUAAGCGCGAGUCAUCAGCUCGCGUUGAUUACGUCCCUGCCCUUUGUACACACCGCCCGUCGCUACUACCGAUUGGAUGGUUUAGUGAGACCCUCGGAUCGGUCCCGACUCGGGGUGGGCUUCUGCCCCGGUCGUGGUUUCGCCGAGAAGACGGUCAAACUUGACUAUCUAGAGGAAGUAAAAGUCGUAACA